ensembl:lncRNA
UGAAGAUGUUCAAAUCGCUCCCCAACUGUCAUUUUGGAAGAACAAUGGGGCAAAGACACGGCUUUCAACUGUUUUAAGGUUAUUUAAAUUUUUCAUUAAUAAUUAUUUUCAAUUGGCAGAAUUAUAACUUUUUUUGCGGCGACAAUACUGUUAAACGUACACAGGCCAACAUUAUUUGGGUUAAAUGAUGAACAGUUUACCUCAAACGGCCAACCUGCGUUACGUGACUCGCAUAAUCGUGUUAAGGUAUUUGAGACAACAGAUGACGGAUGGCUGAAAUAUGCGAAUACCUGUGAAAAUAGAGGAAAAAGUCGUUUCUGACACUGAAAAGCGAAUUUAACAUUUAAGUGAGUCAAAUGAGUUCAAAAAGUGAAUACGACUUUCUGCUCUAAUGUAAACGCCUGCAGUUGUCCAUAUCGACAUGUAAAUCAUAGAAAUUACGUACAAUAUAGUCGGACUGCAGGUCUAAAAGAACCAACGAUCCAGUUCAAAUAAACCGGUUGAGUAAUUCUCGAACAAAGUGUUUCCCGGAAAAGAAUCGACGGCAUUUCAAAGUGCGCGCACACACAGCGAUUGACUUAGGCCGCGUUAGUGAGGUGAUUUGAUGCUUCUGUGGUUUAUAAAGUCUUUUUACAUACAAAUUAUAAUUCAAAAUGUGUUUUUUACUGACAGAAAAGCACAUGGAUACAUUUGUGAGAGAAAAACUCGUCGAGUGCAGUCUUAUUGAGGCGUAUAACGGUUGGAACAAACAUGGAAUUCCUUAACCGAGCAGAGUCCACAAAACCCCAUCCAAUUGUUGUGGCGAUUUAAAAAUGCCAGCAGAUCUCUCAGGCAUUGAUCAUAAUCAAUGGACAGCCACCAGAUCCAGUCCGUAUCCAGAUCAGAGGGUCACUGCAGCCGCCCGGAUCCAGUACGUAUCCAGACCAGAUGGUGGAUCAGCACCUAGAAAGGACCUCUACUGCCCUGAAAGACAGCGGAGACCAGGACAACUAGAGCCACAGAUACAGAUCCCCUGUAAAGACCUUGUCUCAGAGGAGCACCAGGACAAGACCACAGGAAACAGAUGUUUCUUCUGCACAAUCUUUGCUGCAGCCUGGAAUUGAACUACUGGUUUCGUCUGGUCAGAGGAGAACUGGCCCCCCAACUGAGCCUGGUUUCUCCCAAGGUUUUUUUCUCCAUUCUGUCACCGAUGGAGUUUCGGUUCCUUGCCGCUGUCGCCUCUGGCUUGUUUAGUUGGGGUCACUUCAUCUACAGCGAUAUCGUUGACUUGAUUGCAAAUAAAUGCACAGACACUAUUUAAACUGAACAGAGAUGACAUAGCUGAAUUCAAUGAUGAACUGCCUUUAACUAUCAUUUUGCAUUAUUGAGACACUGUUUUCCAAAUGAAUGUUGUUCAGUGCUUUGACGCAAUGUAUUUUGUUUAAAGCACUAUAUAAAUAAAGGUGAUUGAUUGAUUGAUUGAUGUACAUUUUCGAUUUUUUUAUAAAAACACCCCAGAUCUCAAGAAAUUCUCAUACCAAGCUUUACUAUCGUAAUCGCGGGUUUAUUAUUCGGAUAUUUCGUGUGUACAGAGGUGUUUCAGUGUUGUUUUGGCCAGAUAACUACCAGGAAGUGUGCAGGAAGCAUGUGACACGAUGUGGCGGUGUCCAUAUAUGACACUCUAAGAUUGACAUUGGGAAGGUCCAAUCGGAGUCUGAGUGACACACAGCACAAGCUGACACCACUCCACACACACACACAGAUCGCUGGGAGAGGCUGUUUAUCAUCAGAUCACGUAAAUCCGUGGAAAGUGUAUAUAAAUGACGAUUCUGUCUGAAGAAAUAUGAAGUAAACAUCAGUAAAUAUAUCCAUAUAUCUCCGCAGAUAUGCAUCUUUGGUCUUUAA